rnacentral:misc_RNA from 1 species
AUACAAACUACCUCUGCAAAACAUAAAUCAACCUUCAAUACUCCCAUUAACAUGAAUAUUAGGCUAAAUAAAAUUACAACUCCAGUGGGAUUUCAAGGGCACUGUAUACUAUUUUUAAAUAUUUGCAGAUAUGGAAACUUAAAAUGAUAAUCUGUUCAGUAGGCUAAAUUGCAAAGCACAAAGAAACAACAACCACUAAGUAUUCUAAAUGGACACUAAGAAAAAUGAAAAACAUGCAAUGUUGUAGCGACGGAUGAGCAAAUUUGACACAGCAAUCCAAAAACUAAUAUGCCUCAAUCAGCAACAUUUUAGUAACCCAACAUGAUCAUUGUGAAGUCCAUCCUAAUUGCCAUAAAAGUUUCAGUAUUUCACUCCUGCCAUUCAUGCUACAAACAUAUACUAGUUAAGAACCUGAAAUAAUUUGUA